rnacentral:rRNA from 1 species
AAUAAACGCUGGCGGCGUGCCUAACACAUGCAAGUCGAGCGAGAAAGCUCCUUCGGGAGUGAGUACAGCGGCGGACGGUUGAGUAACACGUGAGAAUCUACCCUUUAGUGAAGGAUACCCUCGAGAAAUCGAGGUUAAUACUGCAUACGUCCCUGCGGGGAGAAAGGCGGCCUCUUUGCUGUCGCUAAAGGAUGAGCUUGCGGCCUAUCAGCUAGUUGGUGAGGUAAAGGCUCACCAAGGCAAUGACGGGUAGCCGGCCUGAGAGGGUGUUCGGCCAGAUUGGAACUGAGAUACGGUCCAGACUCCUACGGGUGGCUG